rnacentral:misc_RNA from 1 species
AAUUUGAAGUUUCUUAAUGUCUUAGCUAUAUCCGAAAACAGGCUUUCAGGAUUUAUACCUUCUUGUGUGAGUUCUUUACCUCUCGAACACAUCCAUCUUGAGAAAAAUCAAUUGGGUGGUGGACUGGAACAUGUACUUUUCAACUUCUCUUCUCUGAUAACAUUGGAUCUUCGCUACAACAAUUUUACAGGACAUAUCCCACACACCAUAGGCUCGCUUAAUUCUCUCAACUAUCUUCUCCUUAGCCA